CCUGUGCAGACCCCUCCCGGCCACCUUUAUGGAACCAAGGUUGUCAGGCAGAAGGGCUCUUGGCCAACAUCUUGCCCCUUCACAUUCACCUUCCCCUUGGAAGUGGGGUGGGGGAGGGAGGGCACUCGUUCCUGGAGCUCCCAGCCUUCAUUGUGCCGACUUCCUCUUCACUGCUCCAGCCGAGCACACCCCCUUCAUUAACCACUGCACAGUUGGAAUAGGUUGGAACAUAUUAAAUAAGAUGUUGCUAGAGUUUUUUUUUUUUUUUCUGGCAAGGAAAUAAUGAAAGAAAUGUAAAUACAGACACGAAUAUUGAAUUGUUAGAUUAGGUUUGCAAGAAACGAUUGUUCUCUGGCCCAUCUUGAUGAAUACCCUGUCAGGGUGAAUGCCUGGGGAGUGACAGAGCUUUCUAGUGAAGCAGAGACCUGGCCUGCGCCACCUCUCCUGACACCAGGGAGCAACCCUGAGCCUGUUGAGGCUCCUCAUGGAGACCUAGACUGAGGGAAGUCCAGUCUGUUUCCUUUGCCAAAAACUGAUUCCUAGGUUUCAUUUUCAAGUUCAGACUUACCCUGGGAUUUUUAACAUGAAAAGUCUACUGUUUUCAAGGAGACUGGCCCCUACCCCAGCAGGAUGGGACGUGGGGCAUGGCUUUGCCCUAGAGCCCUGGUGGUACAAAUCUAUUAGUGAAUCAUCACAGAGCCUGUUUGUUUAAGUCAAUAGGAAGGGGCCAUCUUUGUUAGGUUAUAAAUGCCGAAAUGGCUUUGCAAAGAACUUUAAAAAAUGUUAAAUGUAUAUGGAAAGUUGUUUUUCUCCCUCACUCUCUUUUUCACUUAAGUGAAAAACCUCAUAAAACUUCAUGAGCUGUUAAGUCUGUAUUGUGGUGUAGGAAUCUCGUUUGUAUCACUUAAUGGAGCUUCAGGUAAUUGCAGUUCAGAGUGACUUUGGUGCCAAGUAGGGGGAAAUAAUUGCAAUCUCGUUAAUUAGUGGUCUGAUUUCACAUCCUCUUAUGUAAGGCAAGCAAGUGGUCUUAAGUAAUAAUGCUAAUGAAAUCAAUGUUGAUACCCCAACAAAGGUCUCCCUUCCAAGAGAUUAUCUAAAUAACCAACAAGGCAGUGAUUAGGAGUCUAAUGUAAUUACCAUAUUUGCAUGCACAAGGCCCUUGGUCUAUCAGCUCAUGGCAAGUAGUGGGGAAGCAAUCAGGCAUCACACACAUGCAGAAACGUCUCACACCAGACAGGCAGUUUGCGUAGCUGUGGCGAUCGCCCAGCUUUUUUUGGUGGGUGGGGCCUUGAGGAGUCAUCUGGUCUGUUCUCCUGCCCUCAGGUGGGCUUAUUGGUGGGAACUUUGCCUUGGCAGGUGCAGAUGCAUCUGCAACGCAGGCUGCCAGAUCUACGGAUGUUGCUGCUGUGGUGGUGCCCAUCUUAUUCCUGAUACUGCUGAGCCUGGGGGUGGGGUUUGCCAUCCUGUACACGAAGCACCGGAGGCUGCAGAGCAGCUUCACCGCCUUUGCCAACAGCCACUACAGCUCCAGGCUGGGGUCCGCAAUCUUCUCCUCUGGGGAUGACCUGGGGGAAGAUGAUGAAGAUGCCCCUAUGAUAACUGGAUUUUCAGAUGACGUCCCCAUGGUGAUAGCCUGAAAGAGCUUUCCUCACUAGAAACCAAAUGGUGUAAAUAUUUUAUUUGAUAAAGAUAGUUGAUGGUUUAUUUUAAAAGAUGCACUUUGAGUUGCAAUAUGUUAUUUUUAUAUGGGCCAAAAACAAAAAACAA
rnacentral:sRNA from 1 species